rnacentral:rRNA from 1 species
ACUGCUCAGUAACACGUGGACAACCUGCCCUUAGGUUGGGUAUAAACCCGGGAAACUGGGUAUAAUACCCGAUAGGUCUCGAUUGCUGGAAUGCAUCGAGAUUUAAAGCUCCGGCGCCUAAGGAUGGGUCUGCGGCCUAUCAGGUAGUAGUGGGUGUAGCGUACCUACUAGCCUACGACGGGUACGGGUUGUGAGAGCAAGAGCCCGGAGAUGGAUUCUGAGACACGAAUCCAGGCCCUACGGGGUGCAGCAGGCGCGAAAACUUUACAAUGCUGGCAACAGCGAUAAGGGAACCUCGAGUGCCAGGUUACAAAUCUGGCUGUCGAGAUGCCUAAAAAGCAUUUCAUAGCAAGGGCCGGGCAAGACCGGUGCCAGCCGCCGCGGUAACACCGGCGGCUCGAGUGGUAACCGUUAUUAUUGGGUCUAAAGGGUCUGUAGCCGGCCGGAUAAGUCUCUUGAGAAAUCUGGCAGCUUAACUGUCAGGCUUUCAGGAGAUACUGUCUGGCUCGAGGCCGGGAGAGGUGAGAGGUACUUCAGGGGUAGGGGUGAAAUCUUGUAAUCCUUGAAGGACCACCAGUGGCGAAGGCGUCUCACCAGAACGGACCUGACGGCAAGGGACGAAAGCUAGGGGCACGAACCGGAUUAGAUACCCGGGUAGUCCUAGCCGUAAACGAUACUCGCUAGGUGUCGACCACGGUGCGACCGUUGUCGGUGCCGUAGGGAAGCCGUGAAGCGAGCCACCUGGGAAGUACGGCCGCAAGGCUGAAACUUAAAGGAAUUGGCGGGGGAGCAC